rnacentral:lncRNA from 1 species
GCCCGGGAAUGUCGCGGCGCCCGCGCCCGCCCCGCCCCCGCAGGAAGCGCCCCCGCGCUCUCCUGGGUGGAGCCGUCCUCGAGCCUCGCUCUCCGGGGCGCCCCGUGUGCCCGAAACGCGCCCCGGCUGUACAUCGCGGGUGGCGCGCUCCGUCUCCGGUGGAAGAAGCUGGAACGCCCUGCCACCCGCGCCCGCAGCGGCACAGGCGCCCUGGAGGAAGACGAGUUUCCUCAAAGGGGCCCAAGCUUCUGGUGGAAUCCAGACAGCUCCACAUCCACUGGGCAGGACAGAACAACCCAGGGACUGGUAUUUCUUGGACACUGAUGAAUGCCAAGUCCAAAGAGCUCCAGCCUGCAGGUGACCCUGUCUACCCAUCCCAAGUCUCCAGGCUCCAGCCCUCGCCAGCAGGUGCACAACAUACAGGCAUGCGCCAGGUGAUCCUGGCCAGAUCUGCAGAGGACAUACAGAGUUGGCCAUGA